CCUACGGGAGGCAGCAGUGGCGAAUAUUGCACAAUGGGGGAAACCCUGAUGCAGCGACGCCGCGUGAGUGAAGAAGUAUUUCGGUAUGUAAAGCUCUAUCAGCAGGGAAGAAAAUGACGGUACCUGAUUAAGAAGCCCCGGCUAACUACGUGCCAGCAGCCGCGGUCAUACGUAGGGGGCAAGCGUUAUCCGGAUCUACUGGGUGUAAAGGGAGCGUAGACGGCAGCACAAGUCUGGAGUGAAAUGCCGGGGCUUAACCCCGGAACUGCUUUGGAAACUGUGCAGCUAGAGUGCAGGAGAGGUGAGUGGAAUUCCUAGUGUAGCGGUGAAAUGCGUAGAGAUUAGGAGGAACACCAGUGGCGAAGGCGGCUUACUGGACUGUAACUGACGUUGAGGCUCGAAAGCGUGGGGAGCAAACAGGAUUAGAUACCCUUGUAGUC
rnacentral:rRNA from 1 species